rnacentral:rRNA from 1 species
UGCGUAGGCGGGGCAAUUAGUCAGUGGUGAAAUCCCGCGGCUUAACCGUAGAACUGCCAUUGAUACUGUUGCCCUUGAGUAUAGUUGAAGUGGGCGGAAUGUGUAAUGUAGCGGUGAAAUGCAUAGAGAUUACGCAGAACACCAAUUGCGAAGGCAGCUCACUAAGCUAAAACUGACGCUGAGGCACGAAAGCGUGGGGAGCGAACAGGAUUAGAUACCCUGGUAGUCC